rnacentral:rRNA from 1 species
AUUGAACGCUGGCGGCAGGCUUAACACAUGCAAGUCGAGCGGGGAAGGUAGCUUGCUACCGGACCUAGCGGCGGACGGGUGAGUAAUGCUUAGGAAUCUGCCUAUUAGUGGGGGACAACAUCUCGAAAGGGAUGCUAAUACCGCAUACGUCCUACGGGAGAAAGCAGGGGAUCUUCGGACCUUGCGCUAAUAGAUGAGCCUAAGUCGGAUUAGCUAGUUGGUGGGGUAAAGGCCUACCAAGGCGACGAUCUGUAGCGGGUCUGAGAGGAUGAUCCGCCACACUGGGACUGAGACACGGCCCAGACUCCGACGGGAGGCAGCAGUGGGGAAUAUUGGACAAUGGGGGGAACCCUGAUCCAGCCAUGCCGCGUGUGUGAUGAAGGCCUUAUGGUUGUAAAGCACUUUAAGCGAGGAGGAGGCUACUCUAGUUAAUACCUAGGGAUAGUGGACGUUACUCGCAGAAUAAGCACCGGCUAACUCUGUGCCAGCCGCCGCAGUAA